rnacentral:lncRNA from 1 species
GUUUGGGGACAUAGGAGGGUGGGAAAGUAGGUGGCGCAAUAGUAGACUCAUGACUCUGCUCCCAAUCUCCUAUGUGGAUGGCAUCAACAUCAUCAGGAAGCUAAACAGUCUGGAAUGAUGAUUCCUCUGAAAGCCAUCUGCCCCAUCUGAUCAAUCAAACUCUGAAGGGAAGUUAAUUCUUGCUGAAACUGUUGAUACUGAGCUUUGGUUUCCUGUUGAAACUGCUUAUUCAGAGUAGUCAUAUGCUCUAAUAACUCCUUCAAUGUAGGGUCAGAAGUAGUGGAAAGAUGAGGAGCUCCUUGGGCAGGC